UGAUUGGAAGCUUCUAGUGUGGGGUUUAGAUUUAAAUUUCAGAAUUUGGGUAGUAGUACUUGGGGAACAAGUCAAAAAAUAACGGAUUAAGUAGCAAAAAGUAAAAUCUGAAAAGGAUUAGAUCGAAAUAACUAAACCUAUAGGAAUGCACUAUUUUGCUUGCCUAUAAAGGCACUAUUUCUGGCAUAAUAAGGCGGACCAUAGAGAGAGCUGAAAAAAAUAAAAAGGAGCCUUAAACAUUCUAAGAAUUGGAGAUUUUGGAGAGCUGAAUAUCCAAAAAGAUACACAGCUUAUAUAUUAUGAAAAUCUAUGUUUAUAAACUAUAUCUUUCUCUUCCUCAAAGAUUGAAUUGAAAGUUGACUGAAUGUGAUGAAAGGUUAUAUGCUUAACACAUGCAAGUCGAAUAUAGUAUGAAGACUUUCUCUUCUAAAGGCAGGGGUGAGGGCUCCAUUGCGGCAUUAAGUAAGGAGUUGAAGGAAAUCAAGGCGCAUCCAUUUCGUCAUCUCAGUCUCUUUUUGUGCAAAGAGGUAGAAAAGAUUCCGCC
rnacentral:lncRNA from 1 species